rnacentral:rRNA from 1 species
AACGAACGCUGGCGGCAGGCCUAACACAUGCAAGUCGAACGUGAAGCCACCUUCGGGUGGUGGAAAGUGGCAGACGGGUGAGUAACGCGUGGGAACGUGCCUUUCGGUUCGGGAUAACCCAGGGAAACUUGGGCUAAUACCGGAUACGCCCUCCGGGGGAAAGAUUCAUUGCCGAAAGAUCGGCCCGCGUCGGAUUAGCUAGUUGGUGGGGUAAAAGCCUACCAAGGCGACGAUCCGUAGCUGGUCUGCGAGGAUGACCAGCCACACUGGGACUGGGACCCGGCCCAGACUCCUACGGGAGGCAGCAGGGGGGAAUAUGGGACAAUGGGCGCAAGCCUGAUCCAGCCAGGCCGCGUGGGUGAAGAAGGCCUUAGGGUUGAAACCCCCUUUCAGCGGGGAAGAUAAUGACGGUACCCGCAGAAGAAGCCCCGGCUAACUCCGUGCCAGCCGCCGCCGUAA